AUUGAACGCUGGCGGCAGGCCUAACACAUGCAAGUCGAGCGGAUGAAGGGAGCUUGCUCCUGGAUUCAGCGGCGGACGGGUGAGUAAUGCCUAGGAAUCUGCCUGGUAGUGGGGGAUAACGUCCGGAAACGGGCGCUAAUACCGCAUACGUCCUGAGGGAGAAAGUGGGGGAUCUUCGGACCUCACGCUAUCAGAUGAGCCUAGGUCGGAUUAGCUAGUUGGUGGGGUAAAGGCCUACCAAGGCGACGAUCCGUAACUGGUCUGAGAGGAUGAUCAGUCACACUGGAACUGAGACACGGUCCAGACUCCUACGGGAGGCAGCAGUGGGGAAUAUUGGACAAUGGGCGAAAGCCUGAUCCAGCCAUGCCGCGUGUGUGAAGAAGGUCUUCGGAUUGUAAAGCACUUUAAGUUGGGAGGAAGGGCAGUAAGUUAAUACUUUGCUGUUUUGACGUUACCAACAGAAUAAGCACCGGCUAACUUCGCG
rnacentral:rRNA from 1 species